AGGUAUUGGGACUUUGAUGGGAAAAAUGUGAAGCAAAAUGUGGUAAACAGGAAUGAAAAGCCAGAAUGAAUAAAGGAAGCCUUCAUUGUUCUCAGUGAGUUUCCCAGCCUGAGAGAUUCACAGAGACCUGGCAAAUGAUAUUACUGAACCAUGGGCAGUGAAUGCAGAGAACAGAAAAGGGCAUACACCUUUGGAUCUCUGAGCCAUUAUGUAAGAAGUUCAGCUACCCUGAAGCCACCAUGUUGGAUUGGCCACUUAGAGACAGAGAUAUUUGAGGAUCCCCAACUGUUCUGGGCUCCAACUGUUUGAGUCUUUCCAGUCCAGGUCUUCCAAGUUUAUAAGAAGAGUCAGAUUUCCAAGAGCAAUUUAUUCCUUUCUUCAUUCUGUUAGGCAUUAUUUGGAAUGGCUUUUCUUCGAUGAAUUCAAUUAACAGGCUGGAGUGCAGUGGCGUGAUCUCGGCUCACUGCAACCUCCACCUCCCGGGUUCAAGCGAUUCUUCUGCUUCAGCCUUCUCCUGAGCAGCUGGGAUUACAAGUGCACACCAUCACGCCUGGCUAAUUUUUGUAUUUUUAAUAGAGACGGGGUUUCUCCAUGUUGGCCAGGCUUGUCUCGAACUCCUGACCUCAGGUGAUCUGCCCACUUCGGCCUCCCAAAGUGCUGGGAUUACAGGUGUGAGCCACUGCGCCCAGCCUAAAGAGAAUAUUUUCUCAAUUAAAA
rnacentral:antisense_RNA from 1 species